UGGGAGGCCGCGGGCCCCGCCCCCGACCGGCGGCGGCUGCGGCGGCCCAGCGCGGCAGUCGGCGCUGCGAAGUGGAGGCGCUGCGAGCGGAGCCGCGCGGAGGGCGCGACCGGCGGGUCCGGGCAGCGUGGGUUUGCCGUCUUCGGGGCUCCAGUCCGCGCGCCGGGGCUCGAGCAGCACCGCGGGCCCCUCAGGUGGGCCUCGGCUCGGGACGCCGGGAGUCGGGACCGCCAGUCGGGGCGCCGGGACCAUGGCGCUGCGCGCCCGGGCGCUGUACGACUUCAGGUCGGAGAACCCAGGCGAGAUCUCGCUGCGGGAGCACGAGGUGCUGAGCCUGUGCAGCGAGCAGGACAUCGAGGGCUGGCUCGAGGGGGUCAACAGCCGCGGCGACCGCGGCCUCUUCCCGGCCUCCUAUGUGCAGGUGAUCCGCGCCCCCGAGCCUGGCCCGGCGGGAGACGGCGGCCCGGGCGCCCCGGCCCGCUACGCCAAUGUGCCCCCCGGGGGCUUCGAGCCUCUGCCCGUCGCGCCCCCCGCCUCCUUCAAGCCGCCGCCUGACGGCUUCCAGCCGCUGCUGCAGCCACAGCAGGCGCCGCCUCCGAGCACCUUCCAGCCGCCCGGCGCGGGCUUCCCGUACGGCGGGGGCGCCCUGCAGCCGUCGCCUCAGCAGCUCUACGGCGGCUACCAGGCCAGCCAAGGCAGCGAUGAUGACUGGGACGACGAGUGGGACGACAGCUCCACGGUGGCGGACGAGCCGGGCGCUCUGGGCAGCGGAGCAUACCCGGACCUCGACGGCUCGUCUUCGGCGGGUGUGGGCGCAGCCGGCCGCUACCGCCUGUCCACGCGCUCCGACCUGUCCCUGGGCUCCCGCGGCGGCUCGGUCCCCCCGCAGCACCACCCGUCGGGGGCCAAGAGCUCGGCCACCGUGAGCCGUAACCUCAAUCGCUUCUCCACCUUCGUCAAGUCCGGCGGGGAGGCCUUCGUGCUGGGGGAGGCGUCAGGCUUCGUGAAGGACGGGGACAAGCUGUGCGUGGUGCUGGGGCCCUACGGCCCCGAGUGGCAGGAGAACCCCUACCCGUUCCAGUGCACCAUCGACGACCCCACCAAGCAGACCAAGUUCAAGGGCAUGAAGAGCUACAUCUCCUACAAGCUGGUGCCCACGCACACGCAGGUGCCGGUGCAUCGGCGCUACAAGCACUUCGACUGGCUGUACGCGCGCCUGGCGGAGAAGUUCCCGGUCAUCUCCGUGCCCCACCUGCCCGAGAAGCAGGCCACCGGCCGCUUCGAGGAGGACUUCAUCUCUAAGCGCAGGAAGGGCCUGAUCUGGUGGAUGAACCACAUGGCCAGCCACCCAGUGCUGGCGCAGUGCGACGUCUUCCAGCACUUCCUGACGUGCCCCAGCAGCACCGACGAGAAAGCCUGGAAGCAGGGCAAGAGGAAGGCCGAGAAGGACGAGAUGGUGGGCGCCAACUUCUUCCUGACCCUUAGCACGCCCCCCGCCGCUGCCCUUGACCUACAGGAGGUGGAGAGCAAGAUCGACGGCUUCAAGUGCUUCACCAAGAAGAUGGACGACAGCGCGCUGCAGCUCAACCACACGGCCAACGAGUUCGCGCGCAAGCAGGUGACCGGCUUCAAAAAGGAGUAUCAGAAGGUGGGCCAGUCCUUCCGCGGCCUCAGCCAGGCCUUUGAGCUGGACCAGCAGGCCUUCUCGGUGGGCCUGAACCAGGCUAUCGCCUUCACCGGAGAUGCCUAUGACGCCAUUGGCGAGCUCUUCGCGGAGCAGCCCAGGCAGGACUUGGAUCCCGUCAUGGACCUAUUAGCGCUGUAUCAGGGGCAUCUGGCUAACUUCCCGGACAUCAUCCACGUUCAGAAAGGUUAGUCCCUCUAAACAUUUACCCAACUUUUGGUCUUUAUGAUAAUGAAGACAUCUGACCUCUGGUUGGCCAUUGGAUUGUUGAAGAGGACUUCGGGAGACCAGCAAAGCUGUCAUCUUGUGUGUUAAACAUUCCUGGCCUUGCCAAGUAACUGAAUAAUGGGAUAAGCUGCUUGUAUUGUGACAAUGGGCUGUAACAGCCAGAGCCUAGGAUGGGAGCAGUGCUCAGAUGCCUUCAAGGGCAGAUGUCUCGCUAUGUUGCCCAGCCUGGUCUCCAACUCCUGUCUUCAAGCAAUUCCUCCUGCCUCGGCCUCUCCAAGUGCUGGGAUUACAGGAAUUAGCCACCAUGCUCAUUCUCCAUUGACUAAUCUGUUAAUAGUCCUAUCUUUGGGUAAGGUCAACCAUGGAGAAAAUGCUGGAAGAGGUAAGGUCUAAAUUGGGGGAUGUGAGGAUUAUGAUGGAGGAAGGGGAACAGCAUUCCAGGGUGACAUAGUUUGGUUGUGUCCCCAUCCAAAUCUCAUCUUGAAUUGUAGUUUCCAUAAUCCCCACAUGUCAUGGGAGGGACCCAGUAGGAGGUAAUUGAAUCACAGGGGCCAUUACCCCCAUGCUGCUGUUCUCAUGAUAGUGAGUUCUCAUGAGAUCUGAUGGUUUUACGAGGCUUUUCCCCCUUUGCUUGGCACUUCUCUCGCCUGCCGCCAUGUGAAGAAAGAUGUGUUUGCUUCCCCUUCUGCUAUGAUUGUAAGUUUCUUGAGGCCUCCCAGGCCAUGCGAAACUGUGAGUCAAUUAAACCUCUUUCUUUUACAAAUGACCCAGGCUUGGGCAGUCCUUUAUAGCAGUGUGAGAAUGGACCAAUAUACAGAGUUAGUAUUCCAGAGUAAGGUGAAGUUUCACAAAGGUAGAAAUAAGCAGAUCAAAUCCCAGCAGAGUCCCAGGUCAUGGUCUUUGGGUUCACUUAGACCUUGCCAUCCUUCACCACUUUCCAGUUGUGUCAUGCUAGACCAUUUCUAGCCUGUCUCCUUGGCUACAAAAAUGGGAUCAUUAGAUCUGCCUCAUAGCAUUGCUGUGAGAAUGAAAUAAAAUAACAUGCAAUGUUACAGUAGAUGUUAAAUAAAUGUGCAGUUUUCCUUUGGAGUAGAAAGUUACUAAAUGAAACUGGUGAGAGAAGGGGUUGAGGUUACUGGCAAAAUGAAAGGGAACCCCAAAUGUUUAAACUUUGUAUUGCUUCCUAGAAGACUAAAUUAACAUCUCCAUAUGGAAGCUUUUAGGAUUAAAAUACACCAGACAGGACAACUCAGUUAUAAUUUAAAGUGUGUGCUAAAAAAAUCAAUAAGUAAAAAGAUAUACAUCUUAGUAGUUAAUAAAGGAGACAAGUUUUAUAGCCCCUGUUCUAUAAGCAAAGCAUAAGCAUAAUGAAUUCGAAUUUAAUAUCUGAAAAGUAGAAAAAAAGGAAACCUUUUUAACUCUAAAAAAGCAAAACAAAACAAACCAUAUUAAAUUGCUGACCAUGGUGUAGGUAGUAAUAUUGAGCAGUAAAAAUUAUUAGGCAUAGACAGGUUUCCAUUAAUAAGCUGACACUGACACUGUGGUCUCAAAGAUUCUAAGAUAUAAGUAUAAUCAGAAAGCAGAGGUGAAAGGAAGGCCCCCGCUCCAAAGAAAAUAAAAGUUAUUGUUUAAGCUGGCAAUUUCAGAUGACAGAUGGUGCAUUAAAAAAACAACAAAGGCCAGGCACAGUGGCUCACGCCUAUAAUCCCAGCACUUUGGGAAGCUGAGGUAGGUGGAUUGCUUGAGCUCAGGAGUUUGAGACCUGCCUGGGCAACAUAGCAAAACCCCAUCUCUACAAAAAAUACAAAAAUUAGCCAGGCAUGAUGAUGCAUGCCUGUAGUCCCAACUACUCGGGAGGCUGAGGUGGGAGAAUUGCCUGAGCCAGGGGAGGUCGAGGCUGCCUUGAAUUUUGAUCACAUCACUGCACUCCAGCCUGGGUGACAGAGCAAGACCCUGUCUCAAAAAUCAAUCGUACAAACGUAAAAACCUCUCAUUUGACGUGUACUUUAUGCGUUAGGGCACAAUACACUUUGAAUACACUAUCUAUGAUUCUUUUUCUAGGUGGAGAGGAGAAGAAAGUGCAAACCAAAAAGUGACUGAGGCAGAUCUCAAUGAAUUAGAAGUUUAUUUUGCCAAGGCUGAGAAAGCACCCAGGAAAAACAAACACAGCUCAUAGUAGAAUCUGUGACCUGUGCUUUUUCCAAAGAGAGUUUUGGGAACUUCGGUAUUUAAAAGGGAAAGAGCAAGCAGGAGGGAAGAGAAAAAAGUAGGCAAUGAGGCAAGUGGUUACAUUCUUGUGAGGUUCUGGUUAGUGCUUGGUAAAUCUACAUUUUACACAUGAGUAGAGAAAAGUCAAUUAUGCAUUCAUCUGGGGCCCAGUAAAUCUACAUUUUACAUCAGCUAAAGUAAGCAUGUGAAAUUACAGCUAUUUGUUUGGGAACAAAAGGAAGGCGGUUUUUAUGUGACUCAAUUGCCAAGCUUAACUUUCUCUGGCAUAGUGAGUUUGGGGUCCUGGGAUUCUACUUUCCUUUAACAAUGGUUUUGUCCUUCAGUUUUUCACCUCUGUUUUAUAAAGAGCUCUGUCAGUUAGGGAAGCAGAUGUCACAGGCAAACUGGCGUGAUUUUGCAAGGGUUUAUUUACAGAGUGACUCCUUGUGGAGCUGUGGACAUACAGGAGGCAUAAGAGAUGGUGCAGUAUCCCAGGGCAAAUAUCAGCAGAGCUGCUGUCAUCCCUGGGUCUGGAGCUUUGGGGAAGGAAGCAGCUACCAGAACCUGGAAGGAGAGUCACAUAGAGGAGGCUGCCUUGAGAGAAGAUGUCAUCUUCAACUGGGGGAUGCAGUCAGCCUGCGGUAAUCUGUUAGAGAGGUGUCAGAUUGAAAUUUUAGAAGUAUCAAUUCCUUGAGAUGGGAGGAGAACGGAAGGAAAACAAACAACUACCUUUUCCUUUCCUGUUGUUGCUGAUGUGCACUUUCCCUGUCUUCCACGUCAUGACUCAGGAAAUCAGGGGGUGCAUCUCAGAGGGCACCCUGCCUGUGUUCUCUGUCAUUGCCUGUGAGCCACCGACCGAUACCAUCAUUUUAAUCACUCAAGAAGCCUUCCUUUCAGGAAUGUAUAUUGCUUCUUGGCCCCUGCCUUCUCCCUGGAAAUCCUGGGCAAAGAGCCAGGGAAAAAAUGUGAGUGCUCAGGCCGAAAUCAGUGGGCUGGAAUUGUUUCUUCACUUUGGGUGACUCCACUGUUACUCAAGGAAUGAACUGGUUGGCACCAAGCAAGAAGAACAGCACAUCUCUUUGGACUCAUUCCCUUAUUUAUAAGCCAUAACCUUAGGGACAAUAAGCUAGAGACCCUGCCAGCAUCCUUGAGCCAAGAUCUCAUCUGAUGUCACAGUAGCCAUGUUUCCCCGGCAUCCGAAUGCCCAAGGAUGCAAAUAAGGCCUGGGCCAAACUAAGCUCUGACAAUGUUAUUCCAAAGAGGCGGCAGCGAGGGUAGGAAGUUCUGGUCCCCUCAUCUUACUUCAAGUUUCACAGCCAAGAGUGAUGAUAGCUUUAGUCAAUAAGUACAGUCAAGGAGCCUAUGAGACAGAACUUGUCACAAAGAGAGCUGAUGUUUCGCAUGGACCUGAACAGAGUAACUGGUGUCUCUUCAGGAAUGGGGCACAAUCCAGAGGUUACUAACCACGGAACAUUUACUGGAUUUGGUACUUGGCGAAAGAAACUGACAAAUUAAGAAAUGAGAGAGAGAAUAAAUGCACUGUGCGUGCUGAAACCCCAAGAAGACUUUUUUUCUCCUACUUUUUAUGGACCUGAGGUGUUGGAAAUGGAAACAUUGUUUCAAACAAAAUCCAGAUUUUUAUCUCUCUCCCCAAGAGAUAUGGCUUUAAUCUUUUUUCUUUUCUUCUGCUGCUUUUCUGAAACAGUCUGCUAGGGGCUGAUUUCCUCUUCUUUGAAACAGACCAAAAUAUCCCUGUGGGUGAAAAACAUGCCGGAAGUGAAACAGAAAGAUUCAGCUUGCCCCGUGUUCGUGGUCUGUCAACUUCUCUAGCCAGUGCCUGGGUCCACAGCUCACUGCUGCCGGUUGCCCUGCGUUAGCCGCAUUGCGGGGGAGACAGGAGAGGCUUGAAGGCUUUUUAUAUUCUACUCUCUUCUGAAGAAUUCACAAGUUAGCAAGCACUCAACCACUACUAACCAGAAGGUAUUGCCAACCAUAACAAACUACACCCAUCAACAAGGCCUCCCUCAUAUUGCAAUCCCAGCAGAAAAUGAUGCAGGAAAAGCACUCCCCAAAUCUUGGUUGCCUGCCACCCAAGUUCUUAUGCCAAGAUAUGUGUUUAGCCAGUUCUAAGAUGCUCCCACCUUUUCAUGUGUCCAACACUAGGCUUUCUACCAUAGUUCCCUCCACCCAGAAUGUGUUACUUGGCUCCUACAAAUGAAAGAGGAAGUGCCCUUCCCUGAACAGAAAUCAAAACACAGGGUGAAACCACGACUUGUUUUCAACAGGCCUCCUGUUGUGAGCCCUCCCAACUGUGCUGCCUUUCUCCAAGAGAGCUGGGACUGGCGGCUCGAAGCGGUAUAAAUGGCCUGUGCCUCUUCCUGAGGCUGCCUGUAACAAGUGUCUCAAGAGCAAUUCGUCAUCGGCUGGAGAUUACCAACUUGGCUCACUGAACCAGAUCGUGCUUUGUCACAUGUGAAAUUCUGAUGUUCUAAUACAUGGCUUGUUUGCAAACUACGCCUUAAAUAAAUAUAUUCAGGAUAUUU